GAUGAAGAACGGUAGCGAAAUGCGAUAAGUAAUGUGAAUUGCAGAAUUCAGUGAAUCAUCGAAUCUUUGAACGCACAUUGCGCCCGCUAGUAUUCUGGCGGGCAUGCCUGUCCGAGCGUCAUUUCAACCCUCAAGCCCCCGGGCUUGGUGUUGGGGAUCGGCGAGCCUCCGCGCCCGCCGUCCCCUAAAUCUAGUGGCGGUCUCGCUGUAGCUUCCUCUGCGUAGUAGCACACCUCGCACUGGGAAACAGCGCGGCCACGCCGUUAAACCCCCAACUUCUGAACGUUUGACCUCGGAUCAGGUAGGAAUACCCGCUGAACUUAAGCAUAUCAAUAAGCGGAGGA
rnacentral:misc_RNA from 1 species